rnacentral:rRNA from 1 species
GGAUAAUCUACCCUUAGGACCGGGAUAACCCUGGGAAACUGGGGCUAAUACUGGAUAGGCAAUUUUUCCUGCAAUGGUUUUUUGUUUAAAUGUUUUUUCGCCUAAGGAUGAGUCUGCGGCCGAUUAGGUAGUUGGUUAGGUAAUGGCUUACCAAGCCAUUGAUCGGUACGGGUUGUGAGAGCAAGAGCCCGGAGAUGGAACCUGAGACAAGGUUCCAGGCCCUACGGGGUGCAGCAGGCGCGAAACCUCCGCAAUGUGAGAAAUCGCGACGGGGGGAUCCCAAGUGCCAUUCUUAACGGGAUGGCUUUUCAUUAGUGUAAAGAGCUUUUGGAAUAAGGGCUGGGCAAGACCGGUGCCAGCCGCCGCGGUAACACCGGCAGCUCUAGUGGUAGCAGUUUUUAUUGGGCCUAAAGCGUCCGUAGCCGGUUUAAUAAGUCUCUGGUGAAAUCCUGUAGCUUAACUGUGGGAAUUGCUGGAGAUACUAUUAGACUUGAGACCGGGAGAGGUUAGAGGUACUCCCAGGGUAGAGGUGAAAUUCUGUAAUCCUGGGAGGACCGCCUGUUGCGAAGGCGUCUAACUGGAACGGUUCUGACGGUGAGGGACGAAAGUUAGGGGCGCGAACCGGAUUAGAUACCCGGGUAGUCCUAACUGUAAACGAUGCGGACUUGGUGUUGGGGUGGCUUUGAGCUGCUCCAGUGCCGAAGGGAAGCUGUUAAGUCCGCCGCCUGGGAAGUACGGUCGCAAGACUGA